GACAGAGGGUGCAAACGUUGUUCGGAAUUACUGGGCGUAAAGCGCGUGUAGGCGGCGCGGAAAGUCGGAUGUGAAAGCCCUGGGCUUAACCUAGGAAGUGCAUUCGAAACUCCCGUGCUUGAGUUCUGGAGAGGAAGGCGGAAUUCUCGGUGUAGAGGUGAAAUUCGUAGAUAUCGAGAGGAACACCGGUGGCGAAGGCGGCCUUCUGGACAGUGACUGACGCUGAGACGCGAAAGCGUGGGGAGCGAACAGG
rnacentral:rRNA from 1 species